AUGAGAAAAUUUUGCCUUUAUAUUGCCUUCAGACUCAAGACUACAAUAUCAACUUUUCCCUGGGACACCAUCCUGCUGGCCUGUCCUACACAUUCAGACUUGCCAGCCUCCACAAUCAUGAGAUGAUCUUGGCAGAUUAGAAAUAUCUGGAAUAUAAGAUUUUGAUUAAUGAAGCCGCAUUCAAGGUAUGGUGUUAUAAUUUUGGGGAGAUGUGACCCCAGAUGUUUUACAUAAACACUUAUU
rnacentral:lncRNA from 1 species